rnacentral:rRNA from 1 species
GAUGAACGCUGGCGGCGUGCUUAACACAUGCAAGUCGAACGGAAAGGCUCCUGCUUGCAGGGGUACUCGAGUGGCGAACGGGUGAGUAACACGUGGGCGAUCUGCCCUGCACUUCGGGAUAAGCCUGGGGAACUGGGUCUAAUACCGGAUAGGACGAUGGGUUGGAUGCGAUUGUGGAAAGCUAUUCGGUGUGGGAUGAGCGCGCGGCCUAUAAGCUAGUUGGUGGGGUAAUGGCCUACCAAGGGGUCGGCGGGUAGCCGGCCUGAGAGGGGGUACGGCCACAAUGGGACUGAGAUAGGGCGCAGACUCCUACGGGAGGCAGCAGGGGCGAAUAUUGCACAAUGGGCGCAAGCCUGAUGCAGCGACGCCGCGUGGGGGAUGACGGCCUUCGGGUUGUAAACUGCUUUCGCUAGAGACGGAGCGCUAGUGACGGUACCUGGAGAAGAAGCACCGGCUAACUACGUG